CCCUUAGAUGUUCUGGGCCGCACGCGCGCUACACUGAUGAAUGCAACGAGCUCUACCCUUGACCGAAAGGCCCGGGUAAACUUGUGGAACUUCAUCGUGAUGGGGAUAGAUUAUUGCAAUUAUUAAUCUUCAACGAGGAAUUCCUAGUAAGCGCGAGUCAUCAGCUCGCGUUGAUUACGUCCCUGCCCUUUGUACACACCGCCCGUCGCUCCUACCGAUUGAAUGGUCCGGUGAAAUCUUCGGAUUGCUGACCAAGAUCCAGCAAUGGAGCUUGGUUGCGAGAAGUUGAUUAAACCUUAUUAUUUAGAGGAAGGAGAAGUCGUAACA
rnacentral:rRNA from 1 species